rnacentral:rRNA from 1 species
ACGGAAGGCAGCAGUGGGGAAUAUUGGGCAAUGGGCGAAAGCCUGACCCAGCAACGCCGCGUGAAGGAAGAAGGUCUUCGGAUUGUAAACUUCUUUUAUAAGGGACGAAGAAAGUGACGGUACCUUAUGAAUAAGCCACGGCUAACUACGUGCCAGCAGCCGCGGUAAUACGUAGGUGGCAAGCGUUAUCCGGAUUUACUGGGUGUAAAGGGCGUGUAGCCGGGUCGGUAAGUCAGAUGUGAAAUCCACGGGCUUAACUCGUGAACUGCAUUUGAAACUGCUGAUCUUGAGUAUCGGAGAGGCAAUCGGAAUUCCUAGUGUAGCGGUGAAAUGCGUAGAUAUUGGGAGGAACACCAGUGGCGAAGGCGGAUUGCUGGACGACAACUGACGGUGAGGCGCGAAAGCGUGGGGAGCAAACAGGAUUAGAUACCCUGGUA